rnacentral:rRNA from 1 species
UACGUAGGUGGCAAGCGUUAUCCGGAUUUAUUGGGUGUAAAGGGCGUGUAGGCGGGAGCGCAAGUCAGAUGUGAAAACUCAGGGCUCAACCCUGAGCCUGCAUUUGAAACUGUGUUUCUUGAGUGCUGGAGAGGAGAGUGGAAUUCCAUGUGUAGCGGUGAAAUGCGUAGAUAUAUGGAGGAACACCGGUGGCGAAAGCGGCUCUCUGGCCUGUAACUGACACUGAGGCUCGAAAGCGUGGGGAGCAAACAGG